CUUUGAAGAUCAAUGCCUCGUCUAAGAAGUGAGCAGUUUACCCUUGAGAAAGCUCUUGCACAACAUUUUCCAUGCUUCUCGGUCAGGCUCGCGCGCAUUCAAGCUCACCUUCGCAGUUUCAGCGUGCGCAAGCUGAAUGAGAUUUAGAUGGAGGAGUCGGUCGAUGAGGUUGAGGAGGAUGCCUUUGGUGUACUCGGGAUGGCCUUGAAUUCCCAUGAUAUGGUCUCCACACCGGAACAUCUCUAUCCCCGUCCUCUCCGACCAUGCCAUCACUUCAGCACGCGGAGGCAGCUCUAAAACCUCAUCACGAUGGCAUUCGAUCACAGGGAGAUGACUUGGAAUUCGGAGAGAGGAGAGCAACUUGAUGGUUGACUUAGAAGGGUGGAUGCAAGUCACUCCUAUAUCCCAUCCAUUGCUAGCUCGGCCUAUCUUCCCGCCCAAGGCUCGACCAAGAAUCUGAUGCCCAAAGCACACGCCGAGCACCUUCUUCUUCAUCGCAUCCAGCCGCCGGGCAGCGAGAGGGGAGCUUCCCGGCGAUGGCGACAUCGGCCGGUACGACGGCUUCGUCAUCACCGGCAGCUGCAAUGACGCCCACGGCGAGGAC
rnacentral:misc_RNA from 1 species